rnacentral:rRNA from 1 species
CCUACGGGAGGCAGCAGUGGGGAAUUUUGGACAAUGGGCGAAAGCCUGAUCCAGCAAUGCCGCGUGAGUGAAGAAGGCCUUCGGGUUGUAAAGCUCUUUUGUCAGGGAAGAAACGGUGAGAGCUAAUAUCUCUUGCUAAUGACGGUACCUGAAGAAUAAGCACCGGCUAACUACGUGCCAGCAGCCGCGGUAAUACGUAGGGUGCAAGCGUUAAUCGGAAUUACUGGGCGUAAAGCGUGCGCAGGCGGUUUUGUAAGUCUGAUGUGAAAUCCCCGGGCUCAACCUGGGAAUUGCAUUGGAGACUGCAAGGCUAGAAUCUGGCAGAGGGGGGUAGAAUUCCACGUGUAGCAGUGAAAUGCGUAGAUAUGUGGAGGAACACCGAUGGCGAAGGCAGCCCCCUGGGUCAAGAUUGACGCUCAUGCACGAAAGCGUGGGGAGCAAACAGGAUUAGAUACCCUGGUACGUCCACGCCCUAAACGAUGUCUACUAGUUGUCGGGUCUUAAUUGACUUGGUAACGCAGCUAACGCGUGAAGUAGACCGCCGUGGGGAGUACGGUCGCGAAGAUUAAAACCGUAGAAAGUUAGUAGGACGUGAGACGUGCGACGGAGACACGAGGGGAGGUUAGG